rnacentral:tRNA from 2 species
GCGUUGGUGGUACAGUGGUUAGCAUAGCUGCCUUCCAAGCAGUUGACCCGGGUUCGAUUCCCUACCAACGCA